rnacentral:rRNA from 1 species
UACGGGGGGGGGCAAGCGUUGUUCGGAAUUACUGGGCGUAAAGGGCUCGUAGGUGGCCAACUAAGUCAGACGUGAAAUCCCCAGGCUCAACUUGGGAACUGCGUCUGAUACUGGAUGGCUUGAAUUCGGGAGAGGGAUGCAGAAUUCCAGGUGUAGCGGUGAAAUGCGUAGAUAUCGAGAGGAACACCUGCGGCGAAGGCGGGUUGCUGGCGUCGACACUGACGCUGAUGCGCGAAAGCUAGGGGAGCGAACGGG